GACGAACGCUGGCGGCGUGCUUAACACAUGCAAGUCGAACGGAAAGGCCCUGCUUUUGUGGGGUGCUCGAGUGGCGAACGGGUGAGUAACACGUGAGUAACCUGCCCUUGACUUUGGGAUAACUUCAGGAAACUGGGGCUAAUACCGGAUAGGAGCUCCUGCUGCAUGGUGGGGGUUGGAAAGUUUCGGCGGUUGGGGAUGGACUCGCGGCUUAUCAGCUUGUUGGUGGGGUAGUGGCUUACCAAGGCUUUGACGGGUAGCCGGCCUGAGAGGGUGACCGGCCACAUUGGGACUGAGAUACGGCCCAGACUCCUACGGGAGGCAGCAGGGGGGAGUAUUGCGCAAUGGGCGGAAGCCUGAUGCAGCGACGCCGCGUGCGGGAUGACGGCCUUCGGGUUGUAAACCGCUUUCGCCUGUGACGAAGCGUGAGUGACGGUAAUGGGUAAAGAAGCACCGGCUAACUACGUG
rnacentral:rRNA from 1 species